AGAGAAAAUGAAGAACGUUGAGUGGACACUUUAAAUCUACAAGCCAUCACUGCAAAUCAUUGUGAGAAAAAAAAAGCCAUAAAUGUGCCAAAAUAAUAAUUUUGAGAGAGCCUUAAAGCUGGAACAACUCUGCUGGCUUCUAGGAAGUCAUUCUGAACUCAGAUUCGUAAUGCGGACUACAGCCAUAUCACCUGGUAAAAGCCUGGAAUGGUAACGUCAGUGUUUCUUAUUUCAUUACUACAGGAACGAUUCUUCAGUUUUCAGGAGCAGUGGGAGACAUCUACUUCAGCUGUAAACAACAUGCAGACUUUCGAUGGUGAUGGCUAGAAGACUACAAGAAAUUAGUUGAUAGAGAGCUGUCAUCAACAUAAUCAGGACCAAUUCCCUCUUCUAAUUUCCUCAGAGUUUUCUCUUGUCUCUCCCUGUGCUUGUUACACCCAUGGGAGCUCUGAGCAGAGAGAAACCCAGGUCAUUGCUAACAGAGGAAUCAACUAGUGGAUUUGAGUCGUAUACAGCAAAUUCACCCUCACCCCAUCAAGGAGUUGCAUUUCUCAUUCCCAAGAAGACAGAGAUCCUUACAGAGAUGCCAUCUGAUCACUUCCCAAGGCACUGAACUCCACAAGCCAUCCAGGGCAGGCUGCUGCUUGCCCCGGUUUUGAGUGGUGGCAAAACUGGGUGGAGGAAGAUCAGGAGUAUUUCAGCGGUCAUACCAAGUUUCCCUUCUCCUGCUGAAGACCUGGUCUCUUAACACAGUGAAAUGGCCUUUCUGUGCCCUUCUGAUUUAAAACCUGAGGUCCUCAGAGAAGAGGAAGGAGUCGUGAUUCUAAUGAUGGGGCACAGCAGCACGGGAUGCACAGCGAGCCCUCGGUCUCACAGGGCAGAGCAGCCGGGCAGUCCCAGAGCACACCUGGAGAAAGCAGGUACUGUGAAAGAGCAACCCAAUAUUUCUGUGCUUAGCCAAGUAACAGAAAACGUAAAAUAUGAACUGAUACUGGGAAAAUGCAUGGGGAAGGAUCUGUAAGAGAAACAGCUCUCUGAACCAGGUUUCUUGAAAAGAAAUGCAGCUGAAGCCACUUUCAUCAGAUAGCUCUGAGGUCCCCAACAGGGCAGUUACCCCCAAAUCAGUAAAGAAACUCUGAAACUCCUGAUUAUCAAGCAGGUGGUGCCUCUUGAUGUGAAGGAACACCUCAUAUCUUUCAGCCAUUUGCUUGCUGUGCCCUUUGAUUAAUUCCUAAAAUAAGCUUGCAACAAAGCAAUGUUGCAACAUGACUGACAGGUUUGUUUUGUAGUUCUUUGAAAGUAUUUAUGGAGCUUUUCUUCUCCACCUGGUAAGGGGGAGCUUCUUUACAAUCACGCUUGCCUUCUGCAGUCUCAUGAGACGUGGUCCCCGAAUACCAGCCCAUCACUGACGUGCACCAAGCAGCUGGGGCAGCAGGGACAGGGCUGGGUGACAGCUUUCUUACAAAACUGAUGGAUUUUGGAGCUAGAAAUGAAACUGUUUGCAGGAGAUUUCUAUCUGUCCACCUCAAAACUCUGCUUUGGCCAUAUGAGAAGGAACAGUAGUUUUUGCUGACUAAAAAGACAGAGACACAUCUCUGGAGGAUGCAAGCAUUGAAGGGGCUGCUUGCCUUGCAAACCAGCCGAGGGAAGGGGUUUUUCCAAGCUUGCCACAGAGUUUUUACUAGGUAGUUUCAGAUAAAGUUGGCAGGUCAGUGUUGGGAAAUGGCCUUUUCCAGGGAGGAAGCACAUGAGGAUAACUCCUACCUAGCAAUCAGGGCAGGAGUUCUGGGAACAUCCAUUUGUAGAGUGACCACACACUAUAUAUACAGCUGUAUUGUAAGAAGAUACACCUGAACUAUUAUCUGUGCAGACAGGUGAGGUAGUCAGAUCACAGGGUGCUUGCUGUUUUGCUGUUGCUGUGGUGAUUAUACUAUCAAACCAGAGGGAAAGACGGAAGAUUUAAUGAACCGUUGGACUGCUCCCAACCUAAAAUCUGUGCAUACGUUUUGUGGUGGCUUCAGGUCCCACAGGAGCAGACUGCUCUGGGAAAUUGCUAACCUUUGUGCCAAAAAAAAAAGACCAUCAAACAUUUUUUUCCAGUUCUCCCAGGAUAUUGCUUUAGUGAGGGUGGUUUCUUUUUACAGUUGAGCCAAAAAGAAAGUGAAUGUCCAGGUUAAAGUGGUUAUCCGGGUGGUUUCAAAUGCGGAAAGGAUAUUAAGGUCUGGCUUGGGUUGACCAGAAUUAGAGACCAACAGCCUACUGACUUUUACUGGUGCCUGGGUACUUAUUUAAAGCCAAUUGUUCCUAAAUAAUUGUGUGGGUAGAUGUGCCAGACAGUUUUGAGGCUGGGCAAGGAAUUAAAACCAUGAGAGUGGCCUCUCCAAGUGCCUGCAUCACAGAGCUGGCAUUCACCCCACCAUAGGGAGGGGACCAGCGAGACUGGCCGCCACACACUGACCUCCCAGCAUAUGGAUGCAAAGGGUGAGUGAAAAAUAUGCUUCCUGGCUAAUUAAGUUUCCUCAAACUCAAUUAUGUGUCCACAGGCAUGUGUUCACACGGUAUCACAGACAGUAAAUGUGGGUCCUGCAGGCCCCCCUUCCUAGGGAGUGGAUGUGUGCAGGAACGUAGCAAAGGAGCAGCACAACCCACCAGAAUUCGCGAUUGCUUUGCUCUGCUUUCUGACACCCAAGCUGCUCUUGGAUGUUUGUGGACCGGUGAGAUUUCACUGCAGCUCUUCCUCCCUUUCUUCUAUUUUAAAUUGAUCACCUCUUCACUUUUUUUUUUUUUUGUUGUCCAAAUGACGUGCACAUUCAUCCAUAUCUGACCAGCUUUGCAGAGUAAAGGGAGCAGCAGUACUACCUUCCCUGGGCAUUGUGCAACACAUGAUGGUGAAAUAUUAAAAACAAAACAAAACAAAAGGUUGGAUUUUACAUAUGGAAUAAAAGAAGAGCGUAGGAAUUAAUAAACCCUCUGACAAUUUUAAUAUAUAGUUUCACUAAAGGGUUGUCGGACUACCUAAAUGUUAUCUCAGAUGUGACUCCCGUCUUAGUUUGCCUUGGUUGUAUUCAAAUGCAGUUCCAUAAAAUCCUGGAUCUUCUUGUAUUUAAACACAUGUAGAAACCACAAGGUUGCUUUAGGCAUAUCUUUGAUUGCAAAAUCAUAUUAUUACUGUACGUUGAGAAACCAUACACUUGGAAACCAGCCAUUAAGUACAAAUGAAAUGUGGGCAAAGACUAAAAGAUACCAUUUGGCUGUUGUUCAGUGACCUACAUGGAAUUAAUGGCUCUUAUUUUGAUCUCAAGGAGUUAAUGAGAGCUGUGGCUAAGUCAGUGCAAUAUGACAUGUCCUCUAAUCUCACAGAAAAGCAGCCUAGAAAAGGAUCUGGUACCCAAUGUCCUAAGUGGUCAAUGUGACACAAGGACAGCCUAUAUGAAAUAUUCAUACAUAUAACUGACUAGAAAAAACAGCUUUGUAAGUCUGUACCUGGUUAUUAAAAAUAUUUUGCUAGGUUUGUGGAACUGAGGGCUAUAUUUUCCAAAUUAAAUAAAUCAGUUUCUUGGUCACUGAAGGAUACACAGUGAUACGGUAUUCUAAGUUAUAAACUUUGAAAAAGCGUAGUACUGACUAUGGAUUUGGUCUCUCUUAACUCUAAAUGUAACAUUUAUGAGGCAUUUUAUAAGCAUUUAAAAGAGAAGAGUUCUUAAUAGUGAAUUACUUUGAAAUCCUAGGGAGACACUUGUUCAAAUUACAGCUGAUGAAUUUAGCACAACUAUUAAUUCAAAAAUAAAUAGCAAAGAAAAUCAAUGUAAUUAGACUGUUGUUUCCUCACCCUUAAACAUUUCUGAAGUGCUUUCAAGCAAUGCCAAGGUUAAUGAUGAAGAAAGGGAGACCUAAUCCUGCAGAAGGACUGUUUUCAUAAAACACUUGUAAAGCAUUUCCCUGUUUUACCUCCUAGAACUGAUUCAGGUACCUCCCUGGAAGACUCCGUCUCCUCAUUGAAUCCAUCUGUGACGGAAAGGACAUCUCCAUUCUCUCCACAGAGGAGACCUUGUUGCCAUACAAAAAUUUUGGUCUUGUCUGCUUUUUAACAGCCAAGAUACCUACCAGCUCCAGCUUGGGCUCAUCCAGAAUUACCAAUGGCUCAACCAUAUUCAGGACAGCAAACGCUUUAGCUCAGGCAUCCCUAUGUGAAGAACUGCCAAGUACAAAGCUGCUUGUAAGUUGGGGCUUCUUCACAUUCAGAUCUCACUUCCUUCAGACUUCUGCCUGUGUUGGCAUCUUUAAGGCCCUUAGCACUGUAUUUGUGAGUAUUUCCCAGUUCUUAAUGGCCUUUACUCUUGUGACAGCCUUGUAAAGUGUCUAAGCAUUAAGACCCAUUUCAAAGACAGAGAGGUGAGGCAAACUGAAAUUUAAGUGUCCUGUCAAAAAUCUGUGUCUGAGCCAGGAUAAGAAAUUAUGUGCAACAUCACGAGUUGUGGUUCAGUGCCCUGCCCAAGAGGCCUGUUUGAUGUAAGCAGGAAGAGCUUUGACCUCACUCUGCAUCAGUGAAAACAGUAUUAUUGAAUUAAGAGUAAACACACUCCAGCAGGAGGAAUUUUCUUCAUAGAGUCCUUUGACCUACUAUAGAUUUUCUUUUCAUUUUUUAAAGUUACUCUCUAAACCUUCAAGUCCCAAACCCUCCAUCUUAAUUACCCGAGGUACACCUAUAUCUUCAAAGAUAAAUAGUUUAAAGACAUAAAAGCCGCCGUUACACCUUUUAAUAUCACAUUUUCAUUAUCUGCACGUCUGAUAUUUUGGCAGCACGCUUUCAAGACUUAAAAAUACAGACUGAUGUGCAGAGAGAUACAAAGUUGUGCUGUCCUAGAAGCACAAAGAGCUGAAAACUUCCUGAAUUAGCUGGAAGAUCAGAUAAGAGUAACACAUGCCUUCUACAGACUCGGUCAGACUCUUGCUUCCCCUCUGUUUUCUCUGGAUUUAUUAAGCAAAUAACAGUACGGAUUUGGCCUGACAGAGAUGAACACAAGCCACAGAGAAUGUGAACCUAUGGAGUGACUUUUAAGAGCAUCCCUGCCUCUACCUCCCCAUCACUGUCCCACCCCUGAAUUUGCGUAGGACCAGACCCCAGCAGCCGACCCUGCCAUUAGAGAGAAUAUGUGGAUUCUUCUCCGUCAUAGAAUUUUUGCAGUUGUUCUAAUAAUUGUGUCUGGUUUGUAUUAAUGCUCCCUGCUGAUCCCCUUAUUUGCACCAGUGAACUCCAGAUGAAAAUCAGGUAUGGACCAGAAUCCACAGUGGAAGGCAGCUUUAAAGGCCUAACUCCUCGCGACAUGGGCAAGUACAAGAAAACACACUAGUGAGGUGGAAAAUUCAAUGGCAAUAUUCUUUAAAAAACCUCCUGUUUUCCUUUACUAAUGCCCUUGGUUGGUAAAACUACAAAAAUGCAGGUAUUUAAUCCCAUUCAACAGCAACUGAUUCUGUGGGAAGUUUAUUUUACAAGGCUGCUUCUAUCUACCCAACUCUAUGAAGAAAAAGCCUGAAGAUAUAACCAGUGAGUCAGCCAUAGACAAAGCCAGAAAACUAAAUUCUCACUGUAAAAAGGGAAAAAAUCUCAUUAUUUCAAAGUCAGCCUUGCAGAGGACUGCAAUGCUCACUUCUUGUAUGUCUGGGAUUUAGGACUAUCAUGAUGUUACUGUGCAUCUAAGUUGAACUCCUUUCUGCUCUAUAUGGUUUGCGUUUCACUGGGGGAAAAAAAAAUCAGUUACACACUGGGUAUCAUUUUCCUGUAUUUUCCUUUAACGAAACUAACUUUGGGCACAGAUAUGAAAACGUUACCAAGUUUUCCCCGGUGCUGAUGAGCUAUGGCAACUAUUUACGCACUUAUUCUGUCUAUGGCCACUUUAGUGCAAAACUAUAUUUUAGUGUAAAAUUGUAAUAUUAGAGAAGGAGGUUAAUGCUACCAUAUUUUACCCAUUUGUAACUGUGUUUAGAUAACCACGUGCUCCAUUACCACAAUUCAGUUGCUAGCAGACAACUGAAAGCACAGUAACUCCCUUGCGCACCGGUGUCCUCCAAGGCCUAGGAUAUUGAUAAAAUUAUUCGGGACCAUUAUUUAUUCUCUUAAAAUGGGUAGGAACAAAAAAAAAAAACUACGGAAAAAGCACCUUAGUCCCAUGAAGUACCUUCACCCUAUGGCAACUGAACACAUUUAAAAGCACAUUUUCAAAAAUUAACAGAACAGUCUUUUAAAAGCACUUAUGUUAAUCUCAUUCUUUAAAAAGAACACACAACUCAUCCUUUUCAGCCAAAUCGUCUGAAAGGCAGUAUUCUUCACAAUGACUAAACUAUUGCAAUUAAGAGCACGAUUUUCAAAAAUGUUUUAGACUAAGAAAUGUUUUUAGCUUCCAAGACUCCCUGAAAGCUUGAAAUGACUAACGUUUUUGUUCCCACUUGCAAUUUUACCUCUCCAGCAGAGGGAACACGUUAUUUGAAAAAACGCACAUGCGACAAACAGCGAUGGGCAUCUCCUGUGGCUCCUCUGCUUUGAGCUCCGGUACCCACGUAUUCCCCAGCAGUUUUGCAGCUCCUCUGGCUGCUCCAGCCCUGGCUCCACAAGCAGGCUGUGCUGUUUAACCAGACUGGUGAAUGCAGCUAAAAACCUCCACCUAAGACAAGUUAAUUGCUCUCAGUCCCCGUGGGGAAAUUGAAGACCAGGGAAUGCAGGAGUCUUUCCAGCCAGGCUUGGCACCACACAGUUCAGAAUGUGGCACCAUGCUCUGAGCAGCUACUCACUCUGCUCUGCAAAACCAUUCAAAAGGCAUUAAAGAUGCUGGUUUGCAGCACUCGGCUGGAUUUUGUUUCAAAUAGGGUUCCUUUAGAGGGUGACAGAAAAUUCCAGGACAGACUCAAAGCUUGGAAAUACACUUAGGAUAUGGUUGAGAAUGGAGCAGAAACAGUACCAAUGCUGCAUUAAGUACCAUUCCCAUUAUAUAUGCUUGGUACAUAUUCUAUAUAUAUAAUCCACUGCCCUGAAUAACAGAAUUGGAGGCCUCCAACACAUACUUACUCUAACAGUUACCAUCUCUGCAAGAGCACAAGAACACCAAGAAUUUAACAAGCCCCAACAGCAAAAUCUUCCUUCUACCGUCUUGCUACCCAAAUGCUCCUCAACUUCUCCCCCUGCCCAUCUCCUGACCAGGAAGCAGAACAGCUGGGUCUGGUAGCUCAGUCCUCCCUCGCCCUCCUUGAAGGUGAGGGAGUCCCAUUCAGGGUGGAGUCCAAGCCACAGUAUUGUUAAGAGAAAGGAAAGCAAAUGGGAAGAUGAGGAAUAACAUAUGCUUUUCUCAGUGUGGUGCUCACCUAAAACCUGGUGGUCAGCAGUAGUGAAGUGUUUUAUAAUGGGGCGCUCUAUGCCUCAAUACCAUGUGUGUGAGCAAAACUUGUGCUGAUCUUUGCAGUUUUCAUCAUUCUUUUUGGCAAAAGGCUUCUCUUUGCAUAGAUUUAUGCAUACUUUAAGGUUUGGGUUCAGUCCUAUCAAAAUCCCAAAACAAAAUUUGAGGUAAUUCCCCUUCCAUCUCUAAAAGAACCUUCCCAUCACUGAACCAAGCACAUAAGCCCUGCUUUUCAGACCUUUCUAUGGUAUCUGAUCCAGAUGUCUCUUCAGCAAGCUUUUCAAUGCAAAUCAUUUGAGUUUUCAGUUGGGACCAGAACCUGAAGCCAGGCCAGCUCUGAGCAAUUUAAAAACUGUGCAAAUAUUUUACAUGGCCCUAAGAAAUAAUAUAUCAUUUGUGCAGGUUUAUAUACCCAUAAGCAUAUGAAUACAUGUCUGGGUGGUUAUUACUUUCCCAUGUGAUAAAUUUUGGGGAGGGAAAUGAGAUAUAUUAAAGUGACAGCUCACUCUGUGGUUUUCAAGUGAGGGCAGAUCCUGUGCUUCUUGCAUCAGUCUUUUUUGUCCUCCUUGGCAAUAAAUCGCUCGACAUGGGGCCACUCCCUUCAGUCCUUCCCUCUUGUCAGCAGAUUUCCUGGUCACAACUCACCUGGCUCCCGAAACUAUUUCUUUGUUCCUUUUAUUGACAAAACUGAGAAGAAAACCAGGCUUAACUAUUUCCUUCCCUCUCCUGGGACCUCAUUAAGCAUACCCAAACAGCGACAUCUCUGCAGGGCUCCAGAUCAAUGGACACUGUCAUCUGGAGAUUUUAAUCACAUUAACACCACAGCAGAGCAAAGUCCAUCUGAUUCUCCCGUGCUAAAGUGGCAGGCUCAACACUUCUGCCAAUUGCUGCAUCAACUACUUGGACGGCUUAUUUAUACGUGUGGACAAAAAUCAAUCUGCCACAGCUACCGCCUUCCAGUCUCUCCUCCCAGAGCUGAAUUCCCUCUCCAGGAAAUGCAAUUUGAUUCCCCGGACCUGCCUUCUUUAUGAUGGGGAUUAGCUAUAUUCAGACAAUCCUGAGGAGCAGAGUACAAAAACAAUCAAUAAAACAACGCUUUGUGAGCUGGUGGAAGAACCUGCACCACUUACAAAGCAUAGCAGAAAAACAAAUGCUAGGGCUAGAUUGCUGCCAGCAGUCUUUGCAGCAGAGGAGAUGGUAAUUGGUGGUGGUAAAAAGGAUUAUACUUGCAUGGAGAGUCGUGCACAAAGCACUCAGUGGCUAUACAAGGCCCACUGGGUUUUGGUGGAGAUAAACAAGGAGGAAUGGUCAGGCUGAAGGGCAGUUGCACUCAAUCAUUACCCCAGGAACAUGAGAGAAUAGCAGAGGUUGCUUACAGGGACACCCAUGUAACCACACACUGCUGAAAAAUGGAACUGUUUUGACGAAUGAAAAAUAAUUUUUCAGCUGUACCCACACGUCCCUGAGUCUCAUCCAACUUCCCAAGAGUCAGUUACAAGCUAAUCAAUAGUAAUUACCUAUCACCCGGUCUUGCUGCUGUCCUCAAUGUACUGUUACCUGAUGCUGCUCCCUGAUUAUCCAGCACAUGGAGGGCAGGAACUUGCAGGAACAAUAUUUCUUGAUGAAAGCUAUUAUUUCUUGAGCAGUAACUCACUCUUCCAUCACUACAUAAUAAUUGGACUUUCGUUGCAGUUCAAGAUCCCUGGCACCCUGUGAAGGCUGUAUACUUGAGACAUUUUUCUGUCCAGAAACAUUUCCUAGUUCUUAGAUACUUAUCUCAGCAAGUUUGGAAUGUGGCUGAAUUACUAAAAAGAGAAAAAAAAAAACAACCAAACACAAUUUUCAAUUUAAGCCCUGUGUUUGGUGCGAAAUCUCAUAAGAAUUAAAGAAUCCAUCUAAGGAUUUCUAAAGUAGCCCAUAAGGAUUCAUAAGCACAAUGUAACUCUUAAGCAAUCCUCAAUGAACGCUUCAGGGGCAUUUGCACUUAUUCCUGUGUCGUUACUGAAAUUAUUCUCAGCAUCCAACAUUAUCUCAAGAAAAUUUUAGAAAAACUGUAAUAUUGCAGUGAUUUAAAAGAUAAUCCCAAAAAAGUGGCUUAGCUAUUUCUGCAGGAUAAGUUAAAGAUACUUAAAGGAUCAAACGUAUCACGUUCAUGGAGUAACUGUCAUGUAUAGCAUUGAAAUAAAUGUAUGUAUCAGGAAUUUGAAAUUAUCCUCGGCAAAUAAAGCUAAAAAGUAAUAAAGUAAAAGAUUUAGCAGAGAAUCCAGCUAGCCAAUGGAGCUAGCCACCACUAAAGCUGUAAAACAGGCAGAUAACAAAGCAAGCAAAAUCUAAGUUACAGGGAACCGCUAGCAUUUGACAGAACAAAGAAGGCUUAAAGAAGCUAAAAGUUAUAAUACAGCUGUAAUGAGCUGCUCAGAUCCAUACAUUUAAUGGCAAUUAGAGGCCCAGAACACUGACCUUCCUUUUUCACUCUGUCCUCCCUGGGCAGCACUCCUGCAAGUGUCUGGAGAAGUUCAGAUCUCAGGGAUUCGCCGACAGUUGGUAAAUAAUAAGUAAAUUUUAUUUAUUCAGCAACCUAGGUAAGAUGCCGAAUGGUACAGGCACGAGGAUGCUCAUUCGUUUGGAAGUUGUUAAACUCCUCACGUACUUUGCUAAACCCCGGCUCGACACCCGUGUGUGACCCCGCGUGUGCGCAGCGCCCGGUUCCACAGUGUUUAUUAACACGCUUGUCCGCAGAUGCAAUGUUGGAUUUGACAGGUCCUGCAAGUUAACACCUCUCAGUGUUCUAUUUCCCGCUCUCUCCAACAAGCACAAGCUGUUGGGGACUUACUCAGGAGAAAAUACACAGAGAUUCCUGUUCCCCAGGCAUUUCUGCACAGGGAAGGAUCUUUUACCAGGCACGCAAACCAAGUACUGAGGAUGAGUAAAUUGCAGAAGUGCCACCACAUGGGGACAGAUGGGAGGCUUGAUUUCUUCCGAAUGCAUUAUCUACUUUCUCUCUAGUACAGUUCCCUUCUUAAGCCAGCAGACAGAUGUUGUUUAUUCCUAAAAUACACUUUUCAGUCUGUUCCCCGUUUAAAAUGGAGGGGAAAAGUCUCACUCCUGGGGGGCUCUGCUUUGAGCCUGCGAGGGCUCCUGUGGGCUGGGGCAGGGUGAUCUCGGGAGAAAGAUGCAAUUCCAGGUGACAAACUGAUGGUCGACACUCAAUGAUUGCCAGAGUGGGGAGGGAAUAGGGGCAAAAUGAGCACAACAGCUGCUUCCUAAAAAAUUUACUGAUUUCACUUUGCUAAGAUGUUCAGUUUUCCAGCAAUAAAGACAAACAAGCAAACAAACAGCCAGAGGGGGGGGAAAAAGUUUCUAAAGAAUGGAGGCCCAGUUUAGCACUGAAACGAGAUUUUCAAAGGAAUUUAUAGCCAGUCCUAUCCAUUUCUUCUGCAAAGUAGCAUCGGCCAGGUCACACAGUGAAUCCUUGUUUACUUUUGAUUAGGCCUUAUUAGGUAAAAACAGUAAAACCAGUUUACAUUCAAAAUUAUGUUGAUGGACACAACAGAAUCCACAGCAGUAACAGCAAAGUGAGGUGAGUUUUCAGAAGGUGGGCACAGCAUUUUGUCAUGUGGCAUUAAUUACAAUUCUUGGAAUAAAGAUAUUUCUCAUGGGAUGUUCUUACUUGGAAUAAAUAAGGUAUAUAUUUGAGAUACUUGUUCUUGAUGGCAUUUUAUUCCUCUUAGUCUACAUGUUUUUAUCACCUCUACACUGUUUUUUUAAUGGCAACUAGCAUUUGUUUUGCAAUGUAUAAAUUCACCCUACAUAGCAUUGUUUGUAUUUCUCUAUUGGGAUUACAGUUCAGCUUACAGAAAAGAAUUUUUUCUUCUUAAAAUGUUAAAUCUCAUCCAGGGGAUUUUUUGUCUUCUCUCUAAUCAGUUCGACUUCCCGCUGUUCACUCAACUUUCAGCUUUUGCUCAAAAAUGGUAACUAAAAAGAUGUUUCUGAUAUCUGUUACAAUCAGGUAAGUACAUAAAGAUGAACAUGGUCCUACAGACAUAAAUUACUGAGUAUGUAUAUAUUAAGCAUUUUACUAAUUAGGGUUCUGAGAAAUGUCCUACUGAGAGUAUGCACUAAUGCUAUACAAAUAUAGGGAAUGUUUCACAUGGAAUUAACUUGCUUUUAAGUUUAUAAGACUGAAGAUUAUUAGUUCAUCUUAACUUCUGCUUAUUAAUUUUGAUGUUAAUUGGCAAAUAUUGCUCUUUUCAGUAAUUAAUUUUCUCUUUGAAUGUCCUGUCAGGAUCUUGAUAAAUUUUUGGAGUAUCUUAAGAUUUUGAUGGGUUGCUCAGCAACAUAUGAAAUUAAGUUGCGUUUUAAUCUUCCUGGCAAGUAUCAGUGAAUGGCAGAUCUUGAGGCAGGACGUAAAUUUGAAUAAUUUUUCAUCAAUUUUCCUACUCAUAAGCAUGGUAACCAGAAUACAUUUCACAGUCACAAAUCCAAGCAAUUGAAAUCCUUUCUUUAAACUUACGUUCAGUCUUUUCUGCUCAGUUCAGCUCAGGACUGAGUUCCUCACCAAAAGCCGUGUUUCAGGCUGCCUUGUCAGGAGCUCUCUGCAGAACAAGUCCAAACCCUCCUACAAAAUGCUGCUGUGCUUGCAGGAACAAACCCAUUACACCAGUUUCAUAAAAGCAAAGUGAGUCAACUUCUUCUAGUGAGCCUUUUUGUUUUGUCUUUCAUAUAUAAGAUCUGUUGCUGUUGGGAUACUUCACUUUUGAGGCUCUGGUUAGCUUUGUGGUGAGCAGCUAGUGACCUUUCAGCUACCUUUGAUACUAUUGCCACUACUUCAAGAGAAAGCAUUUCACAGGAAGAAAAACAUUUGGAAACCGUGUAUUGACAUCAAUUGAUUUCCACCACUGCUACAAAGCACAGCUGAUUUGGAUUCGAAUCCAAGCGACCUCAGGUGAUGAUAAUUGCGUUAUGGUUGUGUGGUUUGCUUGGACAAAGAGCAAUCCCCCCUCACACUGCACCAGUCAUGGUCAGGCUCAGCCUCUGCCCACAAUGACCGCAUCACGUUGGAUGUUUUAGCUUCUUCAUCUGCUGUAUUGACGUGACAGUAUCUCCUAGGGAAGACAACCUUUUACUAUUAUUAGUUAGUGCCUUGACCCUGAGACUUCUGUUGGCAGCCCCCUAAGGAUGGAGAGCAAGUGGAAACGGUGUCACACUGCUGUCUUGUGUGAGGAUGAGGCGAUCAAAUACAUGUUUAAGCUCCUUGGUAGCGAUGCUACCCAUACACAGACUCCGCAGCCCAUAAAAGGAACCAAAAAAUCCAACUGAGAUGUAAUGAAAAAAUGAAUUAAUGACUUCAAAUCCUUCUGUAAGAGUCCUGGUCUCAGCUUUGCUGAUUCCUAGAGAUGCCAGCAUGACAUUUUUUAAUAUACUCCAAGUAAAAAUUUCAACGGAUGACUCUAACGUCAUGUUCUAAGGGGCACGAAUAUAAAACUGGCAACACAGGUUUGAUGUGGUUUUGCAGAUUUUUAACCCCAGGAAAUAUUCAGAAAUGCAGGGCUGACUGUCACUUGCACGUAUAGGUGAACCAGCAACAGUUUUCUUGGGGUUUUAUGAGACUGAAAAAUGAACUUUUGUGUCAGCUUCCUAAGAGCAGGUUCCCAUUGAUGAGGAGCAGCACAGAGUUGCUCCCCUGGGACUCCAGUACAUAAACAGGCUGGGUGAGAACACUUAAUUGAAGUGUAGAAAACACAACACAACAAAAGACUGAAAAAAAUUUCAGACAACAAUAAUUCUUCAGUGCUUGAAACAAGUCAACAAACCUCCUAGGGAGAAAAAACAAACCAAACCAAACCAAAAACCCAAUAACAAUGAAAAGAACCCAACCCAACAACCUAAGAAAAAUAUUCCAAACUAAUUUUUCAGCAGAAGAUUUCAGAAGAUCAUGUUUUCGCAGUGGUUUCCAAGUGAAAAGCAAGAUUUACUGUCAUUGCUCCUACAGAAGUUUUCACUGAGAAGUGGUAACCUUAUUCCAGAGACAAAAUGUUCAAAACCAGUCGAUGCUUUGAAAGGAAAAUAAAGCUGCUUUUCUGCCUCAGAAAUCCUGCUGGCUGCCAGUGUUGACAUAAAACUCACUCUUGACCAAGCUACUAAAUGCUCAGCAAGCCCAGUAGGGUGGUGUAGUUGUUUUGUUUAUUUAUAAGCGUGGCAAGUUUCCUGCUGUGGCCGCUACCACAUUUAAAUUAUCUUGGCAAAAGCGAGGCAUACAGGAUACUUUCUGAAGACCAUGUCAGUGCCUGAUAGGCAAUUUCCUUUUCUAUUUUUUUUAGGCCCAAACCACAUCUUUCCAGCCUCUGCUAAAUGUUACUAUUCCUGAGGAUACCUGAAGCAGAUAAAAUAGUAGGAGUGCUAGAAGGGAGAAAAACAAGGACUCCAAAAAAAGCCUGACACUGACCUUGAGGCAGAACACUGAGGGCUCUCUAAGCAGGUUUUUCUUCCUCACUACAGCACUCACAGCAGACAAAUACAUUACUUCGAAUUUCUAUGAGGUAUCUUAAAAGUCACAGCAUUUUAGCAUCCCAGAAAGCCAAAGAGGAAGUCUGUUUAAAGUUAAAGAACAUUUUUUGUGAAUCCAUACUAAGUCUACAGGUAGAACGCUGGCACCUAAAUCUACUUGAAUUGACAUUCAGAGGAAGCAGAAAUAUCUUUCAGGACAAGCAUAUGUAAAUGAAACACCUAGUCAUCCAAGAAGCCAGAAAAAGAAUAGAAAAAGAUCCAAGUUACUUGGAAAGUUUACAGCAUUCAAGGUCUAGUGCAGCUUGCUAAUAGAGUCAAUAAGGCUGGGAGUGACCAACACCCCUAGAAAGGACAGUGGUGGUGAAACAUCACAAAAUGGAUGUUCCGAUUAACAUUUUUUAUAAGAAGUCUUCAUCUCAGGUUUUAAUGAAUAUUCUGCAUUUCCUCUGUUUUCCAGGCAAGAAAUGUGUUUGAGUUGGUUUUGUAUGGGAUUGCAUAUUACUAUGGAAGUGCAGAGGUUUUCCCCUUCUCUACUUGACCCUUCUGCAUACAACUCAGCCCCUCAGAACAGCAAAGCUUUCUAAGCACAGCCACAUAAUUUUCGUAAGCAACUGGUUUCCAUUGGCAAAUCCAGCAGCUUAAAUACUCAGAGCCUCUGUGUAGUCCAAACACCUCACGCUCCUGUUCAUCCCCCCCUCGACCCUGCUGUCUCAUUUCCUGAUGUGCAGAGGAAAGUGUGAGUUCUGCAGUGCCGGGGGAACACUGGUCCCUGCAUGGUGCUAUCUGAACUGAUGGAGGAAGCAAACCCCACCAUGGUGAAUCCCUCUCAACCUGCACCCUUCUGGCCACUACUUCCCAUGUGCACAACCAGAGCUCACCCAAGUGGGGCACAGCGAGAGGUGGCCACUGUGGCAGGUUCGUCCUGGCAACGUGUAUCUUCAAAAACACCAAGUCCAUGUUUUAAAUUUCACCCAGCAGCUCAUGCUGGCCAUGCAUUAGCUAUUUCAUAUGAUUAUGAUGGGAAACUCCAACCAGCAAGUAAUGAAGGCAUUGAUUUUAAAGUCCAUCUAGACAGCACUUUCACAGUGCAGUGCAUAUUCUCGCUAUUUGUCGAUCAGUGUGUCGCUUAUGAUUUUGGGAGUAAGUUAAUUAGUGAAAUUGCUUAAAACCCCACACUGUGAAUGUCGGCCACAGACCCAUGUCAAAAGAAUAUGAUUUUUAAAUACAUCCUAGACACCUGCAAAGGACAGUUCUGAAAUUAUGCUUCUCCCCCUCAAAUUGGGAAUUAAACUACAAAUGCUUUGCUUACGUCAGCUAGUUGCUAGUGGCUACAUUCAAUAAGAAAGUGUAAUUGGAAUAUGCAUUUUGGGAUCCUGCUGGCUACAAAUCACUUUACAAACUGAUCCACAAAUGACAUGCCAUUUAGGAACCAAUUCAACAGCUGCCGAAAUUCAGCUGUUUCUGGAACAAAUGAAGGCAAUUGCUUACAGGGCCCUAACAGCAAAACUUUAUUAGACACACAGCCAUAAGUAUAGCAUCACAUGCAACCAGAUGGAAAUAAUACAUUUUCACAGUGUUACAACUGGCUUUUAUAGUUAUCCAGACUGCUCAGAGUUUUGUCUGCACUAGGAUAUCUAUUUUAAAGUACUGAUGGACUAUUAAAAUCAAGUCAACAUAAAGUUCUUCCGUUAGCAUGUCCUAGCUGGAUGAGACAAUACAGAAAUACAAUUUAUUUUUCCCUGCUAGAGGUUUAGAAAGUGUCAAUAUGAUAGAAUGAUUUUGGAGGAAAAAAGCAAAAGCCACAAAACCAAGCAAACUUCUCCAUUCCUGCUUUAUUUUACUCUGUAGAAACUCUCAGCUCAAACUAUUCCCAUCCUGUGAAAAAUCAUGCACCCUUCACAGCUGCUUAGUAAGCAAACCUGUUCUAUGUACUUGUGAACUAGUAUAAUCAGUAAUCACUAUAUUGAUAUUAGAAAAAGUUUCAGGUAUCAGUGUUUGAUAAUGGUUUUCAAAUGGUUUCUAUGCUAUGAACUAUAACUUACACUCCCAAUAGGCACAAAAAUGAAUGAUAAUCUUCAGGUCUUCUGUGUACUGUUAUUAGAAAAUUGUACCAAAUGUUCAUUUGUAAGGGCUAUUUUUAUAAGCAGUUUUUCAUUUAUCUUCAGCCCUAUUAAAAAUUAGCAUAUUAAGUAGAUAGAGUGGAAUUCAGGUUGCUUAAUUCUACUGACUUCAGCAACUAUCAAGAAUCUGACUCUGGCUUUCCCCACACUUGAUGAUACAGUGUCAACACACAGCUAGAGAGACAUGCAUCACUAAAAUAUAGCCUUCCCUUUUGCUACAUUCACAAGCUCUUUGUGAUGGAAUAACCAGAAGUGAAAUUCUGAUUUCCAUUACAGUGACCUAAUUUACCUGUCAUUAAAGCAGUGACUUUAGGUUUACCUCACUGUAAUGGAAAUCAGUGUCUUGACUAAAUAUUCCACAUAGGCACCCAUAUAAAUGUAGUACUAACUAGUAAGUGAGAACAAGACUAACAUCUUAAUGCACUUUUCCUCAUCCCCUGACUUUAUUUUCACCUUUGCUCUUCAAGAGGGUUAUUUAUUUCCCUCCUUCUCAAAAACGCAUGAUCUGUCAAGUCAAAGGGAAUAAUUUUGAUGGUGAGAAGUGUAUCAGGACCUAACCCCGAAUAGAAGAGCUGAAGAAAUGCCAUUUCUGGGUGAGCUUAUUGUAGCAUUAGCAGUGCUGUUAUAUGUAAAGAAGCCCAAACCCUCUUCAUAGACUACAGUCAAAGGCAGCUGGUGUGAAGAAACGCCUACCUGAAGACGGCAAGGCUCAGGGACCAGAGCACUAGUGGUUUCCUCAGUUCAAAUUUUGCUCGUUUGUUCAUUAGGUGCCGACCACCAAAUAUAAAGGCAGCAUACAGAGCUGAAAAUAGGAAUGAUUUUUUCCUGCAAAACAAAACCAGAAAACACUUGUCAAGGCUUUAAUUAGUAUUAGAUACACAGCAGAGUCACAUAACUGCGAAGGGCUUGUGUGUUUCCUUGAAGGGAAACUCUUUUGAAGACACUCCUGCAGCCCAGCUGAGAUUAUUGAUAGUGUACGAACAUAUAUGCGGGCACACAGGGCCAGGUGCAGGCAAAACUUACCUGGGGAAUUUCUGGAAAAGGACAGCCAAAUUUGGCUCCCUUUCUUCCCCAAUGUUCAAAGACUGAACUUAGAGGAACAGAAUAGAUAUUGCAGAGCCCAGACACACUUCUUGAAGCGCAACACAGUUGAUUCGUAAACGAGCUGAUCACGUUUUGUGGCUCAUUUAUAUUUUUCACAUCAAUUUUUGUUUCCUGCAGGCUCCUUGCUACCUGGCAAUUUAGCUUCCCAUUGUUUUGUCCAAGAAGACACUUAAAGAUCUUGAGCACUGCAACACAUCAUGAAGAGCCUCAUGAAAAGCAGAGAACCAGCAAGGAGAGGUCAAUAGUCCCAUUAAGCAGCGACCAUGCCUGGGUGGCAUUGACCUGUUGCACAAACCCUGCCUGCAAGAGCCAGUUCAGGAAAACCAGGGACUUUGCUGAAAGGUCAAGCAGGGCCUUGUUAAGGAGCUUCAAUGAUACUCUUACAAUUGCAAGUUUUAUUUUUAUAACUGCUGGAUAGUAGUCCAGCUCAACAAUAAUCGGCAAACAUUUGAACUCCGCAAUUAUAACUAAUUGUAAAUCAGACAUCAGAGGUCAAAAAUAGAUUCAGCCUGGAAUUCCUUCCCAAACAGCACAAUAUUACACUGACUAAAACUUAAUGAUGUGCAGCAUUAAUGAUGGUGUAAGUGAAUGGGCGUAUACUUAGAAACUGUUUUUUCUCUAAAAAAUCUAUAAUUACGUUCACAAACAACAGUGGGACUAUGACUUUGUAGCAAGAGAUGCUGGUUCUUUUUUGACCCCCAGGAAGAACAACAAACACUCUCAAGAAAGAUAACUGCUUCAUUAACAUCCCAGAAAAGGCAGCAGCAAGUUACAAGAUCUUACAUUCCUUCUGACGCUGGAAUCCCCAGACAAUGCAGCGUCAGACAGACCUGUGACCAGGACAUGGCGCCCUGCCCGGGCUUCCCAUCGGGUGAGGUUCACCUGCAUUGUGAUCUUUAGAGCUUUUAUAGGAUUUUCAAUUGGAUGUUUAUAUGAAAGUAUGUUGCUUCACCUCAAUAUAAAGACAACGAUGUGCUUAUGGUGUCACUAUUGAUGCCAAGUAGGUGCCACCUCCAGGUGGCUGAGGGUACCCCAUGGCAAGGAAUAUAUGCACCACAGCACAGCACAUCUGUGCCUGCUCAAGGCAACCAGCACAUGGAUCACAAGCUCCUCAAUGGACAAGGGUCUUCUCACGAGGUCCACGAAAACUAAAAAGAGCUGUAGCAGCACAUCUGAUUGGAAGUAAAAAGAAAGCACCCAUAGCCUUCACUGGUGAUGAGUUUUAUAUGCAAUUGAAAGCUAAGUAAAAGGGAAGUCCAGAGAGACAGAGGCGUAUCAGUCUGCGCGCAGCAGCAUGCCAUUUUCUGCCCACUUAGAAACUCCUCUGUUUCUAUUGACAUGUUUAUAGCUGUGUUGCAAAACACAGGUAACUGCAUGAAAUUCUGACUGGUGCUCUGCACUGAGAAGGGUGGACCUGGUGCCCAUGGUCCCCUGGGUGAGCUUUAGCAUCAGCACUGGCAUCCAGCCCCAGGAAGAUGAGGAUGACCACAGAACUAGCACCCUCUCACCUUGUGCAUCAAGAUUGUCUGAUUGCCAUCGUAAUGUUUAUCACAACUCAGUUUUGAAAACCACAAAGCUUCAGCCCUUAUCCAUCUCAUAAUAAAGAAAAAAGCAUUCAUUUUCAUUUCUGUGGUCUUAAAUUUUACAGUCAGGGAAGGGGAUAUCAUGAUUGCAGUUUAGCUUGGCUGGGGGCCAGUAAAUAUUUGUUAACCAGUUUGGUUAGUGAUGAACCAACCCACGCUUGCUCAUAUUGAACCGCCUAACAUUUAAGCCAAGAUUUAUGGGUUAUGGGACAGAAGCAGACUCUCAGUGUGACGUUGGAGCACGUUCCCAUUUCAUUCCCUCUUCAGCAGCGAUGUGCAGAGCAGCCCUUGGCCAACCUGGGUGAGGGAAGGCAGAGGGAGCGUGAUGGGCUGUACCGCAGUCAGUGGUGCUUUUCCAUCUGCCCCAGAGCAUGGGGAGAGAUAUCUGCUCUGUGUGCUUCGGCCCCUUCAAUCCCAAACAUCUGGGCUACACUCAGUGCAGACAGCCAGCAAUGCACACAACAGGGCAUGGAGAUAUGCACACAACAAGGUGUGGAUAUCAGCACAUGUGUGGCUGCUCAAGCCAGGUGAUGUGCAGGGGUCCCAGAGGAGGCAGCCCCGUGCCAAACCCCAACCUCUGUGGGGGGUGCAAACCCCCAAGCUCCCGUGAACAGCCCUCCAGUGGAAGUCCCUCACACCACAAGCAGGAAAGGUCUGUCUUGCACUGGUCCAUGCGUGGAGCUCCAAAGCAAUGGAGGGCACAGGACGACAUCUCAAGCAGCGCAGGACAACAGACAUCUCAGAGCAGGGGAAGAGACGGCAACACAGCGUUGCCAUGCGGCUGCCAACAGGACGUGGGCUACGCAGGCUGGCAUGGGAGAAGGUCAGGAUUUGAAAGCAAUAGGUAGAGAUAUUGUGUGGGAGGGCAGGCAGGCAGGUAGCAGUUCAGCUCUGGAUCAACUACAGCCAAGAUGUCAAAGUAAUGGUUUGACUCCAGGUCCCAACCAAGAAAACAAGACCAGUCGGAAUGAACUAGCAGCUCAGGUCUGUGCUCUGCUGGACUCCCUGGGCAAGAUACUCUACAUAUUUAUACAAAGUAACAGUUCAUCUUGCUUCUUACAACAGAAACUAUCUUUUGUGAGUUCAGUCAGUCUAAUUAGGUCAAUAGUUACGUUGUAUUCAUUAGAGCAGAUACAUUGUAGGUCACUUUUAACAGCUUUGUAAUGAAGUCAGCAUUAUUUGCAAUGAUGGUAACUGGUAUUCCCACAGUACACAGCUUUGUAUUGGCAGACAUGAGAAGAUUUGACUGUAUGCACGAUGUGAACUGCAGCGAGAAGCUGCAAGUGGUUUCAGACAAGGAGGAAUGCAGUUGUAUUAUCUCGUAUCAGAGGUAAGCACAAUACUGAAUAACUAAGGCUGAUUUUGAAAUCAUCUCUCUGUUUCAACACCUUCUGACAACUUUUGAUAACUUUUAUGUUUUGCAUCUAAAGGACUCCGAAUUUUCCCCUCUUUGAAGCAUAAUAAUGGCUAAAAGAACUGGGUAGUCUAGGUGAUAUAGUUAUAAACGGGUUGCAGAGGUAUGUACUCUUAAGAUAAUCUGUUUAACUGCAUUAGACUGCUAUUAACCAGCUUCCUACCAGUGUUUUUAUGACGGAUUUUCCUGAACGGUUAAUGACUACAAUCUGGUUCCUGGGCUGGUAAUACAAAGCAAUGGCAAUCUGAUAGCAUUCAAUUAUAUCUGAUAAAGGUUUUAGCCAAAGGAGGCAAAUAUCAAACGAGCACUUUUAAAGACAUAGUUUUGCAGUUGUUCUGGAGUGCUGUAACUUUUCAUUACUCUUAUCUGAAAAGAAACUAAAUAGAGCAGAAUGAUGACAAAAAAAUCAACCUUGAAACUAAAAAAAUCCCCCAAAGUAAUUCAGUAGCAGACUUGUAUCCAAUAACUUCAACGUUAGCACAUUCAUAUGUUUGUCUUCAAUUCUGUUCUGCAGAGUAACACAGUAGACAUAAAGACAGGGCUGCCAAAUCCUCCACAUUUUUCUGGCAUUUCUGUUUCUCACAGUUGUCUCCCACCUUCCUACAUUUUCAGAAUUCAGGGACUAAGUACUGUUUCUACUGAAUACAACUCCAUGUUUCCCUGUCGGAAGUUGCCAGCUCUUUCCCUCAAAAGGGAGGGAGAGGAAUUUUCUGGAGAAGGUAUAAAAUUCUCUGCUCAGGCUGGGGGUUACUACAAGAAACUAAGGCAAGAGUUUGGGGCUACAGGCUGAAGAUGUGAGGCAGAUCUUCCAGGACGUGAGCACAGAGGUGGCCGCAUCACGAGCCAAGGGGACAGGUGGAAGCAGCUGACAUGAUGGGAGAAACAGAAGCGAAAGGAUGAAAGAGUGCCCAAGGGCAAAAUACAGGAUUCUGCUAGAGAUGUCAGGACUGGACUGACAAAUGGAGGAAAAACAGGGAACCAAAAAUCUGAAGGAAACUAAAUUAAUGGCUGUGAGUCAGCUACAGACUGAAGAACAAACCCACAGAGACCAGUCACGACUACACGUCAGCAGGAAGAUGAGUCUGAGCCAUGAGGACAUCCGAACUCUGGGACACUCUGCUUUCCAAGCGCAAAAAGGCCCAGUGGGAAAUAACAGAGCGAGGCAGCCAAACACUGCCAAGUACGUGGUGAAACUGCACAGAAGCCAAGAGGGACUGCACCUUUCUCUUGCUGCCAGAGAAGCGCUAAGGUCUGUUCCGGAGCUCAGGGGCAUUAAUGGAAAAUCCCCUGCAAUUUCAGAGCACUUUGGAAAAGUUGCUUGUUAGUUGGUAGAUACUGUUGUUGUCAUUUGCCAUCCCUAACUUAGCAAAACUUGACAGCUUUAACAAUCUUAUUUUAUUUCUUACUCUCUCAAGUCCCUCUGCCAAUAUUUUCUCCUGAUUAAGAAACCUUUCUUAUAGGACAGAUCAUCUUUCAGUGAUUUCUCCUCCUGUGUGACCUCCUGAUGGGCAGAGGAGGGUUGAACAAGUCUGUUCUGCACCCCUGGGGCUCCUUGUGAUAUCUCUGAAGUGCUCAACACUGUUCUUUGCUCACUCGGUUGGUAAGACUGCCAGUCCUCAUGUGGUAUGUUGACUAUAUACUGCUUACUAAGUGAAAAAGAAACAUUUGAAAAAGCUGUUCCUCAUCUAAAAAAUUCACAUGGCCCAGUUUCCAAGAGUGAGUUAAACAAAGGUAUCUGAAGAGAGGAACUACACACCUGACCAAGUUCCUGCUCAGGUCAACUGCAGGAGUAAAGUCAAGCCAGUUACAAACUCUGCAUGCUUACGAGAGUCAUUAGCAGGGAACAGGAGAUCACUGCAGGAAGAUCACUGCAGGAAAGGGACAAAGAUCACUGCGGGCUUCCCUUCCUGCAGAUCAUGCUUGUGUGACUCCCACUCGCUGAACGUGGGUGGUCCCACUAUGAGUUGGGUUCCUCUUGAGACAAGCUGAGGAGAGCCCAGCCUG